AUGUGUUAACAGGACAUUAUUUUUGCAGACAGCAGUGUAGCCAUUGAAACCAAACUAAAAAUCAAGCAAUUUGUCGAAGAAAGCACAUUAGGGGAGCUGGGAGCACGCCUACCAAUGAGUAGCCCUCUACAUCAUAUGUCUAGAUUUGAACGUAGCUUUCGAGUUGAAAUCUAUCCUAAUUCACUUCCUGCCGAAGUUCAAAAGUUUAGAGAAUAAAAACCCAUACAAGCACCUAAAAGAACUUCAUGUCAUGUUGUGACAUCCCAAAUGCUAAUUAAGGCAUAAGGAUGCCAGAUAUGAAAACAUAUUACAAGAGCAUAAUAGAUAAUUGUAUGCAGCGGAGUAAAUUAUUACAAAUCCCUUACCAAAAUAUAUGAGGUCAGAAGUGGCAAAAUUCAAAAUAUCAAAAUACAAAAAGGGCCACUUCUUUAAUCAUGUGAAUGGACU
rnacentral:lncRNA from 1 species